GGUCAGUUGGCAGAGUGGUUGAAUGCGCGUGAUUGCUAAUCCCGUGAGUCGCAAGGCUCCAAAGGUUCGAAUCCUUUACUGACCGCCA
rnacentral:tRNA from 1 species